GUGAACGUUCUAAUGGGGCACCAGGGAGGUCCUCGUUCGGGAAGCGAUCCACGAGGGCUCCCCCUGGAUGGCAUUCGUCUAUACAAAAUGGUGGCCACCCAGGGGGAAGCAUGCUCCGAUGGCUUCCCUUGCAGUUUUGGCACUAGGUCAAGGUGAGAACGUUCUAAUUGACGUUCUAAGUAGGGUUCUAACUGGGCUUUUGGGGUGGUCCCCCUUCGGGAGACGGAUGACCUCCUCUCGCAUGAAUAUUCCCGAAUGGGGAGCAGGGUACAAUAGGCGAAAUACAGGGAGGACACACAUAUUACAAGCGGGAAACAGACGAACAGACCGUGGGUCUGCCACACACAUACUGAGUAGAAUUGGAUCAUUGGGACAUAUAUGCAAAGUGUCUUGAAUUUCAGCUUAGCCGGUUCCCUCUAUGGGCUUAGCGUGGUCCUGCUGCAAGCCGGCUGUCUGUGUGCGUUUUGGUUCCAUUACGGCUGACCGGGAGGUGCUGUAUUACAAUCCAGGGAGAGGAUGCGGUGUAUUGCGUUGGAAACCAGCUCUCCGGCCCAACUUGAGG